rnacentral:rRNA from 1 species
AUAGCGUAUAUUAAAGUUGUUGCCGUUAAAAAGCUCGUAGUCGAACUUCGGUCCCUGUGAGCCGGUCCGCCUUAUUGGUGUGUACUUGCUUUGCGGGGACUUACCUCCUGGUGAACUGCCAUGUCCUUUACUGGGUGUGGUAGCGAACCAGGACGUUUACUUUGAAAAAAUUAGAGUGUUCAAAGCAGGCCUACGCCCGAAUACAUUAGCAUGGAAUAAUAGAAUAGGACGCGCGUUCCCAUUUUGUUGGUUUCUGAGAUCGCCGUAAUGAUUAAUAGGGAUAGUUGGGGGCAUUUGUAUUCCGUCGUCAGAGGUGAAAUUCUUGGAUUGCCGGAAGACAAACUACUG